GGAUGUGAGGGUGACUUAGCUGUGAUAUCUGUGCCCCACUGGUCACUAGGAUUGAUGUGGCUAAUCUGGAUGGCUAGGCAGGUGUCCCCUUCCUCCCUUAUUCGCCACAUGUUCGUGUACCUCACAAAGCCACACACUCAGCUGAAGGGGAGACCUUGGGGAGGACCAUUCUUUGGGCAAUGGUAUAUGAGUAGCUGGUCUGUCCUGUAAGAACUCCCAAACAAAAAGCAGGUUGAUUGGUAUCUGGCUGCCUGGGGUUGCUUUCCUUGUAAGAAUGAAAGUGGAGGGGGUGUCCCUGUCAU
ensembl:misc_RNA 7SK 7SK RNA